AGGAAUAUUGCUCAAUGGGAGAAAUCCUGAAGCAGCAACGCCGCGUGGAGGAUGAAGGGUCUAUGACUUGUAAACUCCUGUAAAGAAGGAAAAAAUUCCCAUUAGAUGGGAGAUGAUGGUACUUCUGGAGUAAGCCCCGGCUAACGACGUGCCAGCAGCCGCGGUAAUACGUAGGGGGCAAGCGUUGUCCGGAUUUACUGGGUGUAAAGGGUGCUCAGGCGGAUUUGUAAGUCAGAGGUGAAAUCUUACAGCUUAACUGUGAAACUGCCUUUGAUACUACAAGCCUAGAGUAUGGAAGAGAGUGAUGGAAUAUCUGGUGUAGCAGUGAAAUGCGUAGAUAUCAGAUAGAACACCAAUGUCGAAGGCAGUCACUUGGUCCAUUACUGACGCUAAAGCACGAAAGCGUGGGUAGCAAAC
rnacentral:rRNA from 1 species